UGGGUGAAGAGGGCGAAG
rnacentral:miRNA from 1 species